CACCGAUGACGUCAUAAUGGAAAGACGUCACAAUAACUAAUUCUUUACACUGGGUCCAGCUCAGAUCGAUUUGUAACUCGGAUUCUGAAAGAACUGAAUAGAACGGCUGUUUUGAUCGAUCAAAGGAAAUGGAUCAUGAUGAAAAGAAAGUUGUGGGUAGGUGGGGGAGUGGCACUCCUCCCCCGCCCGAGGAGCCUGUGUAGGUUUCAUCUGACGAUGAAUGUUCCAUCGAAGGCAGGGCUAGCCCUGGGUUGCUAUUUUUGUUUGCCAAAAAAUUCGCCAAUCUUAAUUUCUUUCGCCAAUCUAAAUAUAUAUUCGCCAGUAACAUAUUGGCAUUUCAGUCAAAAGAUAUUAUUUUUAAUUUGUUCUUUAUGAUAAUAUAGUAUAUGCUAAAAUGUACUUAUUAUUCAGUUUACAUCUUGUAAUCUAAUAAUCUUAAACUGUAUUUCAUUUUAUUUAAUCGUGCUUUCUAGCUUUACGACAAGCAGCAAUGCAAAUAGUGCUUAUUCACACCACAAGGCGGAUCAACUGAACAAAACUGGUUGAACACAUGGUUUGGUUCUAAAAAUCGAGAUGGGGAAAAACAUCUUUUGCAAAUUUUUUCACCAAAUCGAAAAUUCUUUCGCAAUUUUUUCUUUUUUUUCCGCAACUGGCGACUUUGGUGAACAACAGCGCGAGCCCUGGGAGGAGCCCAGGGAGACACAGGAUGACACCAAGAAGGUGAUUUUGCCUUCGCCUGCGGCGACAAUGCCACCUCUGCAUGAAAAGGCGUCGUCAUCUCAGUCGGAGGCUUCUCUAAAGGAAAUCCCCCCUUUUUUGACAGUGUUGCAAUGGGACCAGCAUCCAGGGUCUCCCUCCGCCGGUUUUUUUAACCCAGGGAAGAGGAAGGGGGGUUUUGGGGAUGAAGGAUCUGGGGAGUUUUUUCCCCCUCUAUCCCGUUCCUUCCGACGUGGUCAUCAGAGGACAGCAACAACGAUGCUGAGUUGGGGGAUAGCUAAUUGGUUUACAAUUCUUUUUAUUAAGUAUUUUACUGUUUAACUUUUAAGUGUUCAACUUUUAAAGUGUUAUUCAAGGAAUAGUUCUUAGUGUAUAUUCUAUAAUAUUCCUGGAUGUGACUUUAACUGUGCCUUAGUGCAUAAUUUAUAAUAUUCCUGGAGAUAACUUUAACUGGUUUUCUGGAUGCCACCACCAGAUAGGCCAGUACUAUUGACAAAUGUGACUUAACUGCUUCUUUUUUUUUUGGGGGGGGGGUUAAGUUGAGAAGAUAUGGAACCAUGGAUGUUUCCAAAGAGCCUGUUUAUUCAUGGAUGUUCAUCAAAUCCUGGCCCGGGUGAAUCUGGGCCUAUAUCCAGGCUGGAGAAAGUGUUUGGUGUUUCCUGAAAAUUCUGAAGGUGAUCUAAUCUUCUAUAAAAUGUGAGGGGGGAGGGAGAGGGGGAAGUGUGGUGACCUAUGACCCGGCUACCCCCCGGAUGGAGACGGUGUGGUCGCCUGCAGAACACCCACCGAUCACAGACCUGCGAGCUCAUAACCAUAUAGGGUUUUGGCGGGAAGAUAGGGCCCGAUGGCUGCAUGGAAGAGAUCACAUGACCUGGGAUUUGGAGUGGUCGCCUGCUGUGUGACUGUCCCCACACUCUUGAUUACGGAACCACAGACUGAAUCAGCAGUGUUGGCUAUCACAGUAGAAGAUAAAAUAUGGUGCUAAUCUCCACAAAAUUUCCUGGAUUUCCAUCAACAAACUAUUUGGAGAUGUGGUGCCAAACCUUCUGGGACUGAUGGAUUUGGUGCUGAUCAUCCCAGCCACUUCAGUUGAAGCUGAGUGUGGCUUCAGUGUGAUGAAGCGGGUGAAGACAGACUUUAGGAACAGACUGUACAACAGAGCUCUGAGCGACCUCCUGCGCAUCAUUCUUCUGUCCCCAGCUGAAGCAGACUUUCAGCCAGACACUGCUGUUGAGCACAGUUUCACCAGCACAGAUCGCAGAGAAUCAACAAGUAGAACUUCUGUUGAUGUUGAAGAUCCCGAAGAAGUAGAUGAAGAUGAUGACUGUCUUGGCCUCAGUGACCUCCUGGGAGAUGCUGCAUGAUCCUGAGUAACUCAGUCAAUGCUGCCUGUUUAGUGACCAGAACUUUGUGGACAGUCAGUGUGAAGUAAUUUACCAUGCCAGUGUGAAGUCAUUAAAAUGUGGUUGACAUUAUUUAUGACAUUUGUUUUGUUGUUUUGAUUUAUUAGUGUAGUUUUAUUCCAAUGACCAUGGAGGUUAACUGAGAUAAUAAAGGUAAGUACUGUGGACAAGUGAAUAUUCAGGCGGACAAGUGAAAAUUACACCAGACAUGUCAUGUGGACAAGUGAAAAUGUUUGCUUAUUUCUAUCACUGAAAGGGGACCCUGAUAACGCUAAGAAAAACAUGCUUCCAGAUUAUGUGUUGAAUGAAAUUAAGCCAGUUUUCGAAUUUCUUGGCAGUGACGAACUAUUGUCAAAAUGUCUUCAUGGCUGGUCGAAUUGCAGCUGCCAACAUCUCCAUAAAUGAAAAUGUCAUACAUAAAAGAAAGAAAACACAAGGGAAAACAAAGAAAUUGACACUGAUGAUAACUAUAUACCUGGUGGACAUUAACACAUAACU
rnacentral:lncRNA from 1 species